GGAAUCUUCCACAAUGGGCGCAAGCCUGAUGGAGCAACACCGCGUGAGUGAAGAAGGGUUUCGGCUCGUAAAGCUCUGUUGUUAAAGAAGAACACGUAUGAGAGUAACUGUUCAUUCGUUGACGGUAUUUAACCAGAAAGUCACGGCUAACUACGUGCCAG
rnacentral:rRNA from 1 species